rnacentral:rRNA from 1 species
AUGAAGGACCUCAUGAGGAAGUACGGCAAGGUGGCCCUCGGUGUCCACGUCUCCGUCUCCGUCGCCUCCGUCUCCGGCCUCUACGUCGCCAUCAACAACAACGUCGACGUCGACGCCAUCUUCCGCAAGAUCGGCAUCAGCGCCCCCGGCACCGCCGCAGGCGACGCGGCCCUGCCCGCCCCCUCUCCCGGCGCCGGCGACGGGGCCCUCCCCCUCCCCGCCCCCGCCGUCGUCGUCGGCCAGGAGGCGCCGCGGAACCGGACCGGGGAGCUCGCGGCGUCCAGCGGCGGCGCGCUCGCGCUCGCCAUCCUCUGCAACAAGGCCCUGUUCCCCGUCAGGGUCCCCAUCACCAUCGCGCUCACGCCGCCCAUCGCCAGGCUCCUCGCCCGCUGGAAGCUCGUCAAGAGCCUCAAGCAGACCUGA